rnacentral:rRNA from 1 species
UACAGAGGGUGCGAGCGUUGUCCGGAAUUACUGGGCGUAAAGGGCGCGCAGGCGGCCGUGUAAGUCCGCUGUGAAAGACCGGGGCUCAACCCCGGGGUGUCAGCGGGGACUGCACGGCUGGAGUCCCGGAGGGGGAGGCGGAAUACCUGGUGUAGCGGUGGAAUGCGUAGAGAUCCGGAAGAACACCGGUGGCGAAGGCGGCCUGCUGGGCGAGUAGCUGACGCUGAUGCGCGACAGCGUGGGGAGCAAACAGG